GAUGAACGCUAGCGGCAGGCUUAAUACAUGCAAGUCGAGGGGCAGCACGGUUAGCAAUAACUGGUGGCGACCGGCGCACGGGUGCGUAACACGUAUACAAUCUACCUUAAACAGGGGGAUAGCCUUUCGAAAGAGAGAUUAAUACCCCGUAAUAAAUUGAACGGCAUCGUUUGAUUUUGAAAGCUCCGGCGGUUUGAGAUGAGUAUGCGUCUGAUUAGCUAGUUGGUGAGGUAACGGCUCACCAAGGCGACGAUCAGUAGGGGAUCUGAGAGGACUAACCCCCACACUGGUACUGAGACACGGACCAGACUCCUACGGGAGGCAGCAGUAAGGAAUAUUGGUCAAUGGAGGCAACUCUGAACCAGCCAUGCCGCGUGCAGGAUGACGGCCCUAUGGGUUGUAAACUGCUUUUAUACAAGAGAAAACCCUGGUACGUGUACCAGGUUGAUAGUAUUGUAAGAUAAGCAUCGGCUAACUUCGUGCCAGCAGCCGCGGUAAU
rnacentral:rRNA from 1 species